rnacentral:lncRNA from 1 species
GGCUGCUUUGAGCAUUAAGGGAAAACAAUAACCUGAACAUGAAAAAUAAUAUAAUGAUGAGAGUAAAUUACACGAGUUGUCCUUGAUGCAAUUGCCAAAAUGCAUAUUUAGUCCUUAUUUUUAAAAUUAACUCGGACUGUCUCUUAUUUAUUUAACAUGAAAUGACUAUAUUGACCUUAUCAAAUUAUUUUUUCAUUUAUUGUGAUUUAUCAAUUAUUAUUUAUUAAUUAUUAAUUUGAAAUUUUAAAAAAUAAAAAAGGACCAAUCUUCAACUUAACAUCAGCCGUCACUCUCCACCACCACCAUUGAUGAACCCUAGAUCUAAAUAUCAACCAUCAAAAUUCAAACCCUACAUUCAUAUAUGAAACUCAACCUUUCCUGGAUAGUGAACCCAAUCAGAUCUACAUUUAGAUCUGAAAUUUAAACCCGUUGUGGAGUAGGGAUUACCGGAGAGAAGGGGAUUAGAGAAGAAGUAGAUUCAGAUAUGAGAAGAAGCAAAUUCAAAUCAGAGUAGAAGCAGAUCCAGAUCAGAAACUCGAAUCCAAUAAUGACCAUCAAUCUCCACCACCGCAACCACCAUCUCUGAAACUUGGACCCAAAUCAGAGGGUGGUGGUGUUGUUACUAAAUCUCUAUGUGGUUGCGUUCUCUCUCCAAGACCAUAAAACACGUCUUUGGAAGCGAUGUUGACAUCUAUAAGUACUGGUAUUUGAAGACCAAGGAGUUGUAGGGUGAUGAUUGAUUAGAGGUGGAGUUGAAUAGCUUCUCGUUGUUUGAUUUCCUUCCCAGAGCAAAUAAGAACGGGGUCGAGACGCGGCUGAAGUUUAACUCACCUCCGGAGAAAUCGGAAGCGGUGAUCGGGCUUUUCCUUGACCGGCCGACGGUUUAAGUCAAUGAAGUCGGAGGUCGGUCUGUUGUGCAUCCCUUAUGUUUUUAUAUAUANUAUAUAUAUAUAUAUAUAUAUAUUAUAGAAAAUCGUUUAAAGAAAAAUAAAUAAAUCAAAAAUGAAUAAAAAGGACAUAAUAGUUGUUUCAAGUCUUGUAAAGGAUCAAACGUGCAAAUUUAAAUUAACGAGGAAUCACACAUGUAGCUUUUAACCAAAAGAGUGGCGGUCUGUGUUAAUUUUUAAAAAAUAGGGACUGAAUAUGUCUUUUGAUACCGGCACGAGGGACAAUUCGCGUAAUUUACUCUAAUGAUGAUGAUAGAUAAUAAUCACUUUUUCUAAUUAACAUGCACACCAAAUUAUACAUAUAAUUAAUUCCCAUAACAUUGAGAAACAAUAUAGUAUUGUUGUUUCAGAAAUUUGCCACCAUAUUUUCAAGAUUUAGCACUUUUGGUCCUUACUCUUUAUUAAAUUGGUGUGUUGACCUCAUAUUUUUGAGAUUUGCCUCUUCUGAUCCCUACUUUUUAUAACUUCCUACUCUCUGAAGGUAUGUAUACAAAUUUUCUUUAUAAAAAUUAUAAAAUGAUUGUGUUGAUAAACAUUAUUUCAUUGUGAUGGCCCCAUAUUUUUGAAAUUUGCCUCUUUUUGGUCCCUACUAUUUAUAACUUCCUACUCUGAAGGUAUGUAGGCAAAUUUUCUUUAUAAAAAUUAUAAAAUGGUUUUGUUGGUAAACAUUAUUCCAUAUGUACACUAACCUCCCUUGCCUGCACUAAAAUGCAGAGUUUUUCCUAGUUGAAAUUAAAAAACAUAUGUUAAAAGAUAUCUUGCAUGUCAUCUUCCCUCACCUUUAAAUCUAUAUCAAGAAGGUUAACUAAAUAAAACAAGCAAAAAAUAAUUUCAAAUGAGAAUCAUAAAGAGAAAAUAGUUCCAAAAUUAAUCAUUACAAAAGAAAACUAUCAAAACUCACAUGAUAUAGAUAUAGUCAACACACCGUAGCAACAAAUUUCAUCUAGAGUGGAAUUUAUCAUGUGUUGAGUUUACUAGUAAGAAGAAUAAAGAAAAGAAAAUAAUAUUGUCAUAAACAUACGUUCCUAAUUACAAAUAUAUAAUUUAGUAUUUACCCUGUUGGAGGGCUGAUUAAGUUGGAAAGGCAACUACAUACCCGUUGAAUCCUUAAAAGUCCCAUUUUAAGAAACAAAGCUCCAGGUCAAGUUGAUCCGCUGCAAAUCAAGAUAUAAUUUCAGAGUUUGCUUUGAUGCUAAUAUUUUAAUGUAAACAACAAUUUCCAAUUAUGCCCUUGGAAGGCAAGAGAUGUGUACGAUAGGCAUUACUUAACGGUGUGCGAAAUCUUGUAGAAAUUAGGUUUUAAAUCACUAUUUGCUGCAAAUUCACAUGUCAUUUCUCAGCCUUUUAAUGUAUUCAUUUGUCUUUGAAACAAAGGAAAACAAUCAAGGUCACCCUCUUUAAUUUAUCAUCUCAAGGUUGACCAAGUUUCACGAGUUACAGUUCCUACAAAAUGACAUCAUCAAUCUAUACAUGCUUGAAAGUUCCUUUACUCCAACAAGUAGUAUCAUCAUAAAGUUUGUUUAACUAUAUCAACAGGUUUUUAUUAAAUAAUAGGUAAGUAUGGAUUUCAACAAGUUUUUACUCCAAUACAUGUCUUAUAAGCAGAAUGCAGAACAAUGGUUUUGAACUUUCUUCUUAUAAAGUCAUCUAAGUAGUAAUCAUUCUCAUUGCAUCAACAGAGAGAGAUAUGGACAUGGGUGGUCUGGACAUUAUAAAUUUGUUCCUAUUAGAGAGUGUUAGUGAUCUCCAUGACUUACAAACUCCACAAAAUGCAUGAAAAUCAACAACUACAAGUUGCAUCAUCAUGGUUCUGAUCUCUAUUCAUACUCCUUGUCUUACCCAUUUCUAGUUUUCUAUACAUGCAAAAAAGAAAUUUGCAUUUGAGAUUUUGUAUAUGCCAUUUCCAAAUAGAAUACAAAGGUUAUAAACAGGGGACUUUCAUACACAUAUAAACUUAGACAAGAAAAAUUGAACUUUAUGAAAACAAGAUGCUAAAGUAAUGAGCCAUGCAGCAUUAACAAUAGUCUUUUGUUGUAUGAACAAAGAAGCAAAAGGAAGGAGUCAAAAUUGGUUUGUUGAUAAUGUAAAGCUAUAUAAUUUGUAUUGGGUUUUUUCUAUUGGUUCCUAAGGUUUUUGGUUUGUAGCUGAUUAGGAAAAUAAUUUAGAUAAGCACAUUUCUAGUUUUAGUUUUAAUAUGAAUGUUCCAAUAACUACUAAAAAGGGGGAUAAGAAAAUGUAUUCCUCUCCAUGUUUCUAAAUACUUAUCUACUGAACAGGAGUUGAUAGGAAAAUAUAUUGUUAUAUGAUCAUCUAAAUCCUCUCAAAUCAGUUAUAAACAAACAAUAACAAGAUGUUCUUAAAACCAAUUAACCUAAUUAAAAACUGAGAAUCAGAAAAUUAAGCAGAUAGCUAAUUGGUUGAACUAAAGAAGGUUUUAUAGUUCUAUGUGCCUGGCUCUAGCUACCUAUAAAAAUUACCUCCUCACGAGAUAUUGUUCUUAUGUACUUGAUAUACUCCAUCUGUUUUUUUUUUUUUUGUAAUUCAAACCCUUCUUAAAGCCGCUCACCUGAUCAUGAACGGAAAGGUAAGGAUCGGAACUGAAAUCAAAGUCAAAAACCAUAAAUAAUGUUAAUGAGGCAAUACAUCAAACACAUUAUGUGCACUUACAAACCACAAAUGAAAUCAUCAACAAAGAAAUUGUCACACCCCCAAACCAAGGAUGGCGGAAACGUCCGGGGGUGGAGGACUUCAUGUAUAGCAUCAUAACCACAAUUUCAAUAGUAAUUUAAGCAAACACAACCAACAUAUAUAUAAUUGAAAAGGUUACAUCACUUGUAUGAAUUACAUGUUUCAAAAUCAAUUACAAUAUGUUGACAAAAUAUGAAAAGUUUGACGCCUUAACGUCCCAUCCUCAAAAGCACUUGAUUACCUGUUUAGUGAUUUCCUGAGAAUACAAGUUGUUUGAAAAGUGUCAACACAAAGGUUGGUGAGUUCAUAAGUUUUUGCUAUAAAACCUAAUAGAAGUCUUUCUCAUGUAAGUAUCACGUUUGUUUCAGAAAAAUUCGAUAUUUUCCUUAAAAUCCGUAUAAUGUAGCCUUAUGACCAAAGACCAAAAUGUAUAAGAAAUCAUUCUUACUUAGUAGACUACUGUGAGUUUGAAUUGAUAUAAAGAGUGAAUUUAAAUCAACAUAAAACCUACUUAGGUUUUAUAAAAUCCCAUAAACUUUAUGAAUUGUUAUCUCCCUAUGUGAGUCGCUAUAAUCAUACUAUGACUAUGUGAACCUGCCACGACGUUUCUCAGGUGUCGCGAAAAUGAAAUGACAUUUGUCACCCGUAGACCUGCAGGUCCCACUGUAGCUAGCAGCAAGGUGUGGGGUGUCAAACCCAAUAUAGAUCUAUAUACAAGUAUCACGUUCUCCCUCCAGGAGACUCUGAUUAUAACUACCA